rnacentral:misc_RNA from 1 species
CCCGUGAAAACACGACCGGAGCACGCGUUAUGAAACUCUCCUGGAGCGGCGUGGCCGCACCAGACAACCGGCCGCCGUCCUCGUGCCCACGGGUGCGUUGGCUGCGUGCCGAUAACGGCGUGGGAUGACGCCAAGGAACGUGCGAUGCGGCGGCGGCGGCGGCUCGUUAGUCCGUGCCGCUCGCUGCCGGCGUGAAGGAAACAAACAUGACUCUUGGCAACGGAUAUCUCGGCUCUCGCAUCGAUGAAGAACGUAGCGAAAUGCGAUACGUGGUGUGAAUUGCAGAAUCCCGCGAACCAUCGAGUCUUUGAACGCAAGUUGCGCCCGAGGGUCCAGCCCGAGGGCACGCCUGCCUCAUGGGCGUAAGAAGCCCAUCCACGCUCGUGCGGCUUAGCCACGUUACUCGUGACGGGCGAGUCCUGAUGCGGAAGAUGGCCCUCCGAGCCCGAGGGCACGGUGGGCCGAAGCGCGCGCUUUUUCGGAUGUGGCCGGAGCGGCUAGUGGUGGGAUCCUGCGCAUGCCGCCCCGUGCCUUGCCGAUUCGGGCGCAGCCAUUCGACCCCGUACGAGGAGCCCGUCGUCGGCGCGGCCGAUCGCGAGGAACCCUCGGAACAAUACCCCAGGUCAGGCGGGACUACCCGCCGAGUUUAAGCAUA